rnacentral:lncRNA from 1 species
CUUUUAUAUUCUCUUUAUUUUUUCCUACCCCUCAUUGUCCCUGGUUCCCCAAUCUUAAGUGAGAAAAAGAAGAAAGUGAAACCACCCAGGACUUUGAUCACUGAAGAUGGGAAAGUCCUGAAUGUAAAUGAACCCAAGUACAUGGACACCUCUUUAAUUGAUGUUGAUGUGCAGCCAACUUACGUGCGAGUAGUGGUCAAAGGAAAGGUGUGUAUAUCUCAUGGGCUAUUGCAAUCUCAAAAGCUAAGCCUUGAAUUCAGUUAAAAAUUUAAGC